GUGAGUAGUUCAGAGUUUGAUCCUGGCUCAGGACGAACGCUGGCGGCGUGCCUAACACAUGCAAGUCGAACGGAACUUAUUGGAUCAAGGCUUCGGCCAAGUGAAUUUAAGUUUAGUGGCGAACGGGUGAGUAACGCGUGAGCAACCUGCCUUUCAGAGGGGGACAACAGUUGGAAACGACUGCUAAUACCGCAUAACACAUUCGGGGGGCAUCCCCUGAAUGUCAAAGAUUUAUCGCUGAAAGAUGGGCUCGCGUCUGAUUAGCUAGUUGGUGGGGUAACGGCCCACCAAGGCGACGAUCAGUAGCCGGACUGAGAGGUUGAACGGCCACAUUGGGACUGAGAUACGGCCCAG
rnacentral:rRNA from 1 species